UUAGAGAGGUGGGUGGCUGAUAUGCAGGGCAAUAUCGAAAGCUUGAAACUAGAAAGUUACCGCAUCGGUCCAUCUUUGAAGUUGAAGGAGUAGUUGAGAGAUGGGACUGAUCUCAUGCUUUUUCAUCCGUCUUUUGACGCUGCUCAUAUUGAUCGUCUCUUCAUUCUUAGUCAUGCAAUCACCUCAUUACGUUCACGCCGAUCGGAACCCGAGAAAAUUAAGGAUCAUACCAAGCCCACCCCCUCCUCCGAGUUCACCCGCAGGACCACAUCAACAUGGCUAAUUUGGGACAUCCAUCUUACUAGUCUGAUUCAAUUAAUGAUUACGUAAAGUUUCUCUUCAGAUUAAAAAUAAAAUAUUACAUAAAAUAAUUGCUUGGAAUACAAUUUUUCACUUGUGUUACAUUA